rnacentral:lncRNA from 1 species
GGCACUAUAAAAAGUCCAGUUCAACAGCACUAAUAGGUGCUGUGGGGGGGGGACAAAUGUGUCUCCUGAUUUUGUAUUGGUUUUAUUAAGGGUUUUUUUUUUGUUUAGUUUUUUUGCUGAACAUGGAGGGUUCCACUGUCCAACUCUUAAGAUUUUCUCUAGCAAUUUUUGGCUUUUGUGUCCAUGGGCAUAUCGGAAGUGUUUAGCUGGUGGCUUCAGCAGUGGCGGUUAUCCUGGAUACUAUGAGGCUGGCCUCCCAAUGCAGGAUGAUGUGAAGCAGCAAAGUUCCAGCUGCCCCAGAGCAGCAGACUUCAAGUUGGUUCCAAGCAGUUUUCUGGUCGCAGGCCCAUCCUCAGUUCAAGUCUUGGCCAGCAAUCAGCACAAGACGGCUACCAAACUGUCCCAGUCAAGUGGACAACCAGGACAUGCUGGUUACCAGGCUCCAUCACAACCCAGCAACCUACAGUCCGCACAAACCAGCUAUCAGUCUAUACAACAGCCUAGUGGCCAAAAACCAGGACAAACCCGAUACCAGCCUGUCUCCCAGCCCAGUGGCCUGCAGUCAGCCCAGACGUGCUACCAGUUUGUGCCCCGGCCUGAUGGCCAAAAACCAGGAUUGACCCGAUACCAGCCAAUCUCCCAGCCCAGUGGCCUGUAGUCAUAACAAACCAACUACCAGUUAGCACAAGCUCCCUACCAGUCUGUGUCCCAGCCCAGUGGCCAAUCUGUGUCUCUUCAGCCUGGAUUCCAGCUCCCUUCUAUGCCAGAGCAGUCAAGUUAUGGGUCACUUUCCAGUUUUGGUUCCCAACCCCUAGAGCAACCCAGUAAUGUACAACUUGUUUCAAGUUAUGAGUGUGUUGCAGCCUGACCUUCAGGAUACAGCACCACUGCGCUCCCAGACUACUCAAAAUGAAUGCUUCUCACCAGAUAUGUUGAGGCUGUUGCAGCAAGUGAAGUCAUAGCUGCACAGUUGAUUUAACUUCAUUUAGUGUCUUGUUUUUUAACAAUAAAUAUCACAAACAAACAUUGGUUUGUGUUUGCUGGGUUCUUUCUCGGUUAUCUAAAUUUGCAAGGGCUUUAAUGUGGUCUACUGAUGCAGUAAUAUUUAAUGUUGGGUGUAUGAUGUCUUCUGGGGGGGGGGUAGAAACCUGUCUACUAGUAGUUCAAUAUCUUUGACCUGUGAAGUUCUAUUGUUGGCACAUUUACCUCUUCGGUUUUCUUUGUUUGGAGACUUUGACAGUCUCAAACUGUCCCACAGGUGUAUGUGUAAUUUAUUUAUGGUUAAUCCUUUUCAAUUAAGAUCUGUGAAGCCCAAGUCUGGACAGUGCUUCAGACUCCGUGUAGGCUUUAUUUGACUGUAAUCUGAUUUCUCUCCUUGCUCUUCCCCACGCCUUGCCCUUGGGAUGACAUUUUUGUAAUGGCCACACAAAUGUCUAAAUGAACUUUUAUUCAGAAAUCCAUUGAUCAUAGAGGUGUAUUCAAGUCAUUGUUGAUGAAUUAAAAGUUAUACAAAAAAUAUUGGUGCUUUUCCACUGCGUGAUACGGCUCAGUUUGCAUUUCCACUGCAGUUUAGUACAGCUUUAGAGUGGGCGGGAUUAUAGACAUGUUAUAGUUGCGCCGUGACCUUAUAGUUGCGCCGUGACCCUGAAAACCUUUAAUUCCAUGUCAUCCCAUCAAGCUCUCGCUGGAUCCGCUCAACUAUCAGCGAAACUUCCUGGUCUGUACAUGAAACGGCCAUUAUUUUGUUUAAAAAAAGGUGCGCUCUGUUCAAAACUGUUG